UACGUAGGGGGCAAGCGUUGUCCGGAAUUAUUGGGCGUAAAGAGCGUGUAGGCGGCUUUGCAAGUCCGUUGUGAAAACUCGAGGCUCAACCUCGAGACGCCGGUGGAAACUGCAAAGCUAGAGUCCGGAAGAGGAGAGUGGAAUUCCUGGUGUAGCGGUGAAAUGCGCAGAUGUCAGGAAGAACACCCGUGGCGAAGGCGGCUCUCUGGGACGGUACUGACGCUGAGACGCGAAAGCGUGGGGAGCAAACAGG
rnacentral:rRNA from 1 species